rnacentral:rRNA from 1 species
UACGAAGGGGGGCUAGCGUUGCUCGGAAUCACUGGGCGUAAAGGGUGCGUAGGCGGGUCUUUAAGUCAGAGGUGAAAUCCUGGAGCUCAACUCCAGAACUGCCUUUGAUACUGAGGACCUUGAGUACGGGAGAGGUGAGUGGAACUGCGAGUGUAGAGGUGAAAUUCGUAGAUAUUCGCAAGAACACCAGUGGCGAAGGCGGCUCACUGGCCCGUUACUGACGCUGAGGCACGAAAGCGUGGGGGAGCAAACAGG